GCCCCAGUGGCUCAGUGGUAGAGCGCUUCCUUGGUAAGGAAGAAGUCACGCGUUCAAUUCGCGUCUGGGGCUCCA
rnacentral:tRNA from 1 species